GGGGAUGUAGCUCAGUUGGUAGAGUGCUUGCUGUGCAUGCACAAAGGCUCUGAGUUCAAUCCCCAGCACCCUUC
rnacentral:tRNA from 1 species